UAUUAUGAUGAUAAAAGUAUUUCAACGAAUUUCUUCAACUGAACUUCUAUGUGGAUAACCUAUUACUUUGACAGAGCUUUUUAACCCUGAUA
rnacentral:snoRNA from 1 species